GCCUUAGGGUUGUAAAACACUUUCUGUAGGAGGAAAGGUUAGUAGUUAAUACCUGCUAGCUGUGACGUUACUGACAAAGAAGCACCGGCUAACUCCGUGCCAGCAGCCGCGGUAAUACGGAGGGUGCGAGCGUUAAUCGGAAUUACUGGGCGAAAAGCGUACGCAGGCGGUUUGUUAAGCGAGAUGUGAAUGCCCCGGGCUCAACCUGGGAACUGCAUUUCGAACUGGCAAAUAGAGUGUGAUAGAGGGUGGUUGAAUUUCAGGUGUAGCGGAGAAAUGCGUAGAGAUCUGAUGGAAUACCGAUGGCGAACGCAGCCACCUGGGUCAACAGUGACCCUCAUGUACGAAAGCGUGGGGAGCAAACAGGAUUAAAUACCCUGGUAGUCCACGCCGUAAACGAUGUCUACUAGAACCUCGGAACCUCGGUUCUGUUUUU
rnacentral:rRNA from 1 species